UACAGAGGUGGCAAGCGUUGUUCGGAAUUACUGGGCGUAAAGGGCGCGUAGGCGGCCAUCUAAGUCAGACGUGAAAUCCCCCGGCUUAACCUGGGAACUGCGUCUGAUACUGGAAGGCUUGAGUAUGGGAGAGGGAUGUAGAAUUCCAGGUGUAGCGGUGAAAUGCGUAGAUAUCUGGAGGAAUACCGGUGGCGAAGGCGGCAUCCUGGACCAUUACUGACGCUGAGGCGCGAAAGCUGGGGGAGCAAACGGG
rnacentral:rRNA from 1 species